GGGCCCGCACAAGCGGUGGAGCACGUGGUUUAAUUCGAUGCAAACCGAAGAACCUUACCUGGGUUUGACAUGCACGUGGUAGGGAGAUGAAAGUCGAACGACCUCUGUAGCGAUACAGGGGAGCGUGCACAGGUGCUGCAUGGCUGUCGUCAGCUCGUGUCGUGAGAUGUUGGGUCAAGUCCCGCAACGAGCGCAACCCCCGCGGUCGGUUGCCAUCAUUGAGUUGGGCACUCCGGCCGGACCGCCGUCGACAAGACGGAGGAAGGUGGGGACGACGUCAAGUCAUCAUGGCCUUUAUGCCCAGGGCGACACACGUGCUACAAUGGCCGGCACAACGGGAAGCCACGUGGCGACACGGAGCGGAUCCCUCAAAGCCGGUCCCAGUUCGGAUUGUGGUCUGCAACCCGACCGCAUGAAGCUGGAAUCGCUAGUAAUCGCGGAUCAGCCAAGCCGCGGUGAAUACGUUCCCGGGCCUU
rnacentral:rRNA from 1 species